UUCAUUUCUGCUUUUAAAGGAAAUACUUUUGGAAACAUAAAUAUGUGGGUUUGCAAUUUAUAAAGCAGCUUUUCCACUUAUUUUCUUAGAAUAUUGACAUACUUUGCAAUGAAGCAGAAAACAAGCUUAUGCAUAUACUGCAUGCAAAUGAUCCCAAGUGGUCCACCCCAACUAAAGACUGUACUUCAGGGCCGUACACUGCUCAAAUCAUUCCUGGUACAGGAAACAAGCUUCUGAUGUCUUCUCCUAAUUGUGAGAUAUAUUAUCAAAGUCCUUUAUCACUUUGUAUGGCCAAAAGGAAGUCUGUUUCCACACCUGUCUCAGCCCAGAUGACUUCAAAGUCUUGUAAAGGGGAGAAAGAGAUUGAUGACCAAAAGAACUGCAAAAAGAGAAGAGCCUUGGAUUUCUUGAGUAGACUGCCUUUACCUCCACCUGUUAGUCCCAUUUGUACAUUUGUUUCUCCGGCUGCACAGAAGGCAUUUCAGCCACCAAGGAGUUGUGGCACCAAAUACGAAACACCCAU
rnacentral:lncRNA from 1 species